UACGAAGGGGGCGAGCGUUGUUCGGAUUUACUGGGCGUAAAGGGCGCGUAGGCGGUCGGUCAAGUCUGGGGUGAAAUCUUUCGGCUCAACCGGAAAAGUGCCCCGGAUACGGAUCGGCUGGAGGGAGGUAGGGGUCGACGGAACGUUCCGGUGGAGCGGUGAAAUGCGUAGAUAUCGGAAGGAACACCGGUGGCGAAAGCGGUCGACUGGACCUUUUCUGACGCUGAGCGCGAAAGCCAGGGGAGCAAAGCGGGAUUAAGAUGACCGUGUAUCCC
rnacentral:rRNA from 1 species